GCCUUCUUGGGGUUGCACCUGGAGAGUUUCCAGUACUCUACCAGUCUCUACUACAGGCGGGAGAGUCAAGCAGAGGCCUACCCAUCCCAUUCCUGGCUUGGCCAGUGGCUAGUUAGUGGAAGGCAAUCUGCUCCAAGU